rnacentral:rRNA from 1 species
UACGAAGGGGGCUAGCGUUGUUCGGAAUUACUGGGCGUAAAGCGCACGUAGGCGGAUCCUUAAGUCAGGGGUGAAAUCCCGAGGCUCAACCUCGGAACUGCCUUUGAUACUGGGGAUAUCGAGUCCGGGAGAGGUGAGUGGAACUGCGAGUGUAGAGGUGAAAUUCGUAGAUAUUCGCAAGAACACCAGUGGCGAAGGCGGCUCACUGGCCCGAUACUGACGCUGAGGCACGAAAGCGUGGGGAGCAAACAGG